rnacentral:rRNA from 1 species
UACGGGGGGGGCAAGCGUUGUCCGGAUUUACUGGGCGUAAAGGGCGUGCAGGCGGUCUGUUAAGUGCAGGGUGAAAGCUCCCGGCUCAACUGGGAGAGGUCCUUGCAUACUGGCGGACUUGAGGGGGGUAGAGGAAAGUGGAAUUCCCGGUGUAGUGGUGAUAUGCGUAGAUAUCGGGAGGAACACCUGUGGCGAAGGCGGCUUUCUGGGCCCUACCUGACGCUGAGACGGCGAAAGCGUGGGGAGCGAACCGGG